GUCCCCGUAGCUUAAAUAAAGCAUGGCACUGAAGAUGCCAAGAUGGUUAGCUACACUACCCGAGGACA
rnacentral:tRNA from 1 species